rnacentral:tRNA from 1 species
GGCCCCUUAGCUCAGCUGGAUAGAGCACCUGCCUUCUAAGCAGGUUGUCGCACGUUCGAGUCGUGCAGGGGUCGCCA